UACGAAGGGGGCUAGCGUUGCUCGGAUUCAUUGGGCGUAAAGAGCGUGUAGGCGGCCAGGUAGGUCGGUUGUGAAAACUGGAGGCUCAACCUUCAGAGGUCGACCGAAACCAUCUGGCUAGAGUCCGGGAGAGGAGAGUGGAAUUCCUGGUGUAGCGGUGAAAUGCGCAGAUAUCAGGAAGAACACCCGUGGCGAAAGCGGCUCUCUGGAACGGUACUGACGCUGAGACGCGAAAGCGUGGGGAGCGAACAGG
rnacentral:rRNA from 1 species